rnacentral:rRNA from 1 species
GUAACGAGCGCAACCCUUGUCCUAGUUACCAGCACGUUAUGGUGGGCACUCUAAGGAGACUGCCGGUGACAAACCGGAGGGAAGGUGGGGAUGACGUCAAGUCAUCAUGGCCCUUACGGCCUGGGCUACACACGUGCUACAAUGGUCGGUACAAAGGGUUGCCAAGCCGCGAGGUGGAGCUAAUCCCAUAAAACCGAUCGUAGUCCGGAUCGCAGUCUGCAACUCGACUGCGUGAAGUCGGAAUCGCUAGUAAUCGUGAAUCAGAAUGUCACGGUGAAUACGUUCCCGGGCCUU